GCCAGGAGGGGAUCCAGGUGAAUUCCCUGGAAUUCGCCCUUUCCCCCUCCCCCCGCGCUCCCUCGGGCACUUUGGCUUUCGCGUCUCUGCAGCCGCGAUCGGGGACGGCUGCGAUGGCCCCAGCGCUGGGGCUGGGGGUGCUCCGGGGGCUCCUGGGGCUCCUGGGGGACCCGGGGGCCGCGACCAAAGGAGUCCAUGUUAUCUCGGAGUUCUCUGCACCUGCGCUGGUUGUUGCUAGGGGGUCAUCCUUCUGUCUCCUGGUGGUCGGUGAUAAAGGCUGUGGAGUCUUCCUCAGCCGCGUCUUCUUCACCCUAUGUCCUUAUUUGGUGACUUCUCUGUGGAAAAUUACCAAAAUCUUAUGAUUAACGCAAUAUGUGCCCUAUCAAGCUUAAGCAAGCAAAUGUCCUGCCUUGCAAACUGUGCCCUAUCAAGCUUAAGCAAGCAAAUAUCCUGCCUUGCAGACUGUUUAUCUGCCCCUGCCCCUUCCCCAGCUUUUCCCUGGUCGUUAUCUCUGUGAGUUAUCUGCUUGUACCAUUUGUCAGCGGGAAAGGUUUCCCUGCUGGGUGUUUAUCUGCCCCUGCCCCUUCCCCAGCUUUUCCCUGGUCGUUAUUUCUGUGAGUUAUCUGUUUGUACCAUUUGCUGGGUGGGACUAUGUGUGGGCUCCUGCAACCCCUUCCCUGGUAUCCUUGUAGCUCAUAUCUCAUGAAGUAGUACAGAAAUAGUCAGCAGACAACUCUUGUAACA